GCUCAAAUUUGAAAUCUUAAAGGGUUUCCCUUUACGAAUUGUAGUUUAAAGAAGUGUUUUCUGUUGAGGUUUUGGUAAAAGUUCUUUGGAAUAGGACAUCAUAGAGGGUGAGAAUCCCGUAUUUGACCUUUACUUUCAACUUUGUGAUACACUUUCAAAGAGUCGGAUUGUUUGGGAAUGCAGUCCAAAAUGGGUGGUAAAUUUCACCUAAAGCUAAAUAUUGGCGAGAGACCGAUAGCGAACAAGUACCGUGAGGGAAAGAUGAAAAGAACUUUGAAAAGAGAGUUAAACAGUACGUGAAAUUGUCAAAAGGGAAGCGUUUGACACCAGUGUUGUUUUUCUGAAAAUCAAUUAAAGGACUGUUUAUGCUAAGUUGUUUAGACUUUAUCAGCUAACUGUUUAGUUUUGAGCUUUUCUUUAAUGCACUUUUCAGUUAACAAG
rnacentral:rRNA from 1 species